rnacentral:rRNA from 1 species
AGUGAACGCUGGCGGUAUGCCUAACACAUGCAAGUCGAACGGCAGCACAGUAAGAGCUUGCUCUUACGGGUGGCGAGUGGCGGACGGGUGAGGAAUACAUCGGAAUCUACUUUUUCGUGGGGGAUAACGUAGGGAAACUUACGCUAAUACCGCAUACGACCUACGGGUGAAAGCAGGGGAUCUUCGGACCUUGCGCGAUUGAAUGAGCCGAUGUCGGAUUAGCUAGUUGGCGGGGUAAAGGCCCACCAAGGCAACGAUCCGUAGCCGGUCUGAGAGGAUGAUCGGCCACACUGGAACUGAGAACCGGUCCAGACUCCUACGGGAGGCAGCAGGGGGGAAUUUUGGGAAAUGGGCGAAAGCCUGACCCAGCAACGCCGCGUGGGUGAAGAAGGCCUUCGGGUUGUAAAACCCUUUUGUUGGGAAAGAAAAGAGGCGUAUUAAACCCCGCCUUUUUUGACGGUACCCAAAAAAAAAGCAACGGCUAACUACGU